CCAUGAAACAACAUAACAUGAAGUUUUCUGUACUGUUUUUUAUUUAAGCUGUGGGGUUGAUAGGGAUCCUGUGGUCCUGCACAGUUGUGAAUCAUUGCCACAGAGUAACUGGAAAAAAUUUAUUGGUAUUUGUUGAAACAUUCUGUCCGGGUCAUCUGGGUUUAGAAAUCCCAAACAUGCACAAUUCUCAAUCUAUCUUCAUCUGUCUAUCUGUUUCUAGUCUUUGAAAAUGUCCAUUUGAUCUGUCAGGCUGUCUUACAACACGCACAGCUGCCAAGCCCUGCAGCUGCUGCAGGAUUUCUGAUGCCAUAAUUUGCAUAUAUAGGCUAAUUGCAUUAAGCAAGGAUCCAUUCAAGCAUGUUCAUUAGAAAUGCCAGUCAUAUUUGUGUGCUGUCGUGUCUUCACGUGGCAGAGAUUAUCUUUUCUAUAAAAUGACCCAAACUGUAAUCACCAGGCUCCAUUGAUGUUGGCUACAUCAAGCAGGAUUAUACAAGCYCCUGAUCUGUUUCAAUACAUUUUAUUUAAAGAUAUCUUGGCUUACAGCAAUCUCRGCUUUCCUCUCUCUAAGUAAUGGGUAAAUUAUCCGAGUCUGUAUUUCAUUUUUUCAUUAUUGUUAUUUUUUAUUCUGCAGGGCAAGUUUAGGUUCACACUUUGGAACAUAAUAAGGAGAGACAAAGGAAACUAUUUAUAACAGGCCAUGGAAGACUGGUAGGCAGAGCCACCAUUUUAAAGGAUAUUCAGAGAGAAGGGAAAGCAGAGCUGGAAGCUUGGAGAAAGUGGAGAAUAGCUUGGAUAUUAUGGAUCCAUCUGGCCUUGGGAUCAGCCCUCAUUGUCUCAUUGACAGAUACCUAAAACAACAGACUUGAAAACAGAGAAAGGCAUAAAUCCAGUGASCCAAGGUGAAAUUCAUCCCUGCAGGGUCUGAAGGACACCCAGGCACACACAGACAAUGCAGAGCACCCAGGACAAUGCUCAGCCAGUUACUACAGAAGAGCUGCUCACAUGAGUGAAAACUUCUGGCUCUAGAUGACUGAAAAGGAAGGUGCUGAGAAGGACUUGUCAGUAACAAACUGUGAGACACCUAAUGCUGGAAACACAAUCCCUGCACAUGAUGGUGUGACAUCCAUUGCCAUAAGUCUCCAGUGCCCUGUAGAACUCAAGGCACAGUCCCUUUGAUUCUACAGCCCRUGAAGAUCUGGCAGGUCUGAAGCAGGACAGGAUGACAUCAAUAUUUCCUUUAAGAAGGCCAGCAGUAGGUCCACAGUGUAUGUCUGAAUAAAUGUGAUUCAAAUGACAUCAUGUUAACUUUUUUCCUCUCUC